AUUCUAACAGCAUAAGAGAGGUAGUGACAAGAAAUAACAAUACAAGGCAGUUAAAAUGCUUUGUAAUUGGAAUGAUAGAAAUUUAAACACUUUUUAAAGUAUCAAUUGGAGGGCAAGUCUGGUGCCAGCAGCCGCGGUAAUUCCAGCUCCAAUAGCGUAUAUUAAAAUUGUUGCAGUUAAAAAGCUCGUAGUUGAAUUUCUGCUAAAAAUAACCGGUCUGCUUUUAAUAAAGGUGGUAUCUUGGUGUGUUUUUAGCAAUAAUGUCCUUUGAAAUGUUUUUUACUUCAUUGUAAUAAAUUAUAUUUAGGAUUUUUACUUUGAGAAAAUUAGAGUGUUUCUAGCAGGCUAAUGCUUUGAAUACUGCAGCAUGGAAUAAUAAAAUAGGAUUUUGGUUCUACAUUAUUGGU
rnacentral:rRNA from 1 species